rnacentral:tRNA from 2 species
GGCAUUCUAGCUCAUUGGAAGAGCGGCGCUCUCGUAAGGCGCAGGUUCGAGUUCGAUUCUCGGGAUUGCCUCUA